CCUAUCUUCUUCCCACUCUCCAUUUCUCUCUCCCUCUCUCUCUCAGACCUCGAAAAUCCACAACAAUGGCUGCCACUCUCUCCACACUCACAUUGGGCACUCCCUCCUACCCCGCCGCAACCUCCGCCUCCUCCUUCCCCUCCCACUCCCCCAAACCCACCCUCCAAUUCCCCUUCAACCCCCAAAACCCUACCCUCACCCACCGCGCCACCCACAUACGCCCCCUCGCCGCCGUCGGAGCCCCGGAAAAGAUCGAGAAACUCGGCACCGACAUCUCCAGCCUCACCCUCGAGGAGGCCCGCAUCCUCGUCGACUACCUCCAGGACAAGCUCGGUGUCUCCGCCGCGGCUCUUGCCCCAGCCGC
rnacentral:lncRNA from 1 species